UCGAGAAUUUUUCUCAAUGGGCGAAAGCCUGAAGGAGCGACGCCGCGUGGGGGAUGAAUGGCUUCGGCCCGUAAACCCCUGUCAUUUGCGAACAAAUUGACUCACUUAACACGUGUGUCAUUGAUUGUAGCGGAAGAGGAAGGGACGGCUAACUCUGUGCCAGCAGCCGCGGUAAUACAGAGGUCCCAAGCGUUGUUCGGAUUUACUGGGCGUAAAGGGUGCGUAGGCGGUUGUUUAAGUCUGACGUGAAAUCUCCGGGCCUAACCCGGAAACUGCGUUGGAUACUAUUCAACUAGAGGAAUGGAGGGGAGACUGGAAUACUUGGUGUAGCAGUGAAAUGCGUAGAUAUCAAGUGGAACACCAGUGGCGAAGGCGAGUCUCUGGACAUUUCCUGACGCUGAGGCACGAAAGCCAGGGGAGCAAACGGGAUUAGAUACCCGGGUAGUCC
rnacentral:rRNA from 1 species